AACGUAGGACGCAAGCGUUAUCCGGAGUUACUGGGCGUAAAGCGCGGGCAGGCGGUUCUGCCAGUCUGAUGGGAAAUCUCCUCGCUCAACGGGGAGCAGCCAUUGGAAACUACAGAACUGGAGUCUGGCAGAGGUAGGCGGAAUUCCGGGUGGAGUGGUGAAAUGCGUAGAGAUCCGGAGGAACACCAGAGGCGAAGGCGGCCUACUGGGCCAGUACUGACGCUGAGCCGCGAAAGCCAGGGGAGCGAACGGG
rnacentral:rRNA from 1 species